rnacentral:lncRNA from 1 species
AACCCAGAGGCGGAGGACAAAGCGGAAGGCCGAAGAGCGAGGACGAAACCGGCGGAACCGCACUUUGGAGCCUAACGAGCCAUCGCUGCGUCUGAGACUGGGACCCGGAAGUAAACAGGCCGGACGUGACGCAAGCCGCUCGGCCUAGGGAUGGUGGCUGGCCGGGUUGUCAUGGAAACCGCUCCGGAGCCGGGAGCUGGGAGCUAUGAGUGCUGACUGCGUGAACUCGGCCUCCACUUCCCGGACCUGCCACUUAUCAUGAUCCACGAGCUGUACUCAUGACUCCGCACAAGCAAGCAGGGGCUGACGGUCGGAUCCCUCGCCCCCAUUUUACGGACAGAAGUACCGAGGCUCAAAGAGAGCCAGCUAGUCAAGUGAAGCAAUGGGAAUGGAGAAGAAACAAAUCUAUAACUGGUUGUGAUGAAUUAGUUGUAAGCACCACUGCAAUUGGACCAGUCAAUACCAUGGUUAUCACAGGAGCGUGGCUGAGGCUGUGUUUGGCCCUGGGUGCCAGGUCUGCACCCUGCACUAAGGAUGGGUGAGGAACGACAGGCAGUCGAGCUGGUUGGUGCUACAGGCAAUGUACAGUAAGCCAUGAUGGGCAGAGGCAGGAAAUACUUAGAGAACUGGAAAGAAUAAAGGAGCCGGUGUUCUCUUCUCAGGGCCAGGUGAGUCUGUGAGAUGCUCACACGCCCCCUGGUGGUGUCAGUAGGAAUUCUUC